ensembl:lncRNA
GGAAAUCCCAUUUCCUGCCAUUUAGAUGUUGCCAGCUCCAAUACUUUGGCCACAUGAUGCGAAGAACUCAUUAGAAAAGACCCUGAUUCUGGGAAGGAUUGAAGGCGGGAGGAGAAGGGGACGACAGAGGAUGGGAUGGUUGGAUGGCAUCACUCACUCAAUGGACACGAAUUUGAGCAAGCUCUGGGAGAUGGUGAAGGACAGGGAAGGCUGGUGUGCUGCAGACCAUGGGGUUGCAAAGAGUCAGACUCAACUGAGCGACUGAACAGCAACAAGGUUUUUCAAGAGUACAUCAUGUGAAACGCCAGGCUGGGUGGAUCACAAGCUGGAAUCAAGAUUGCUGGGAGAAAUAUCAACAAUCUCAGAUAUCCAGACAAUACCACUCUAAUGGCAGAAAGUGAAGAGGAACUAAAGAGCCUCUAGAUAAAGGUGAAAGAGAAGAGUGAGAAUGCUGGCUUAAAACUCAACAUUCAAAAAACUAAGAUCAUGGCGUCUGGUCCCAUCACUUCAUGGCAAAUAGAAGAGGAAAAAGUAGAAGCAGUGACAGAUUUUAUUUUCCUGGGCUCCAAAAUCACUGUGGACAGUGACUGCAGCCAUGAAGUUAAAAGAUGCUUGCUUCUUGGAAGGAAAGCUAUUACAAACCUAGACAGCAUAUUAAAAAGCAGAAACAUCACUUUGCAACAAAGAUCCGUAUAGUCAAAGCUAUGAUUUUUCCAUUAGUCAUGUACGGAUAUGAGAGUUGUUUCAUAAAGAAGGCUGAGUGAGCACUGAAGAAUUGAUGCUUUCAAAUUGUGGUGCUGGAGAAGACUCUUGAGAAUGCCUUGGACUUCAAGGAGAUCAAACCAGUUAAUCCUAAAGGAAAUCAACCCUGAAUAUUCAUUGGAGGGAUUGAUACUGAAGAUGAAGCUCCAAUACUCUAGAGCUGCUGCUGCUAAGUCGCUUCAGUCGUGUCCGACUCUGUGCGACCCCAUAGACGGUAG